GAGAGAGCGAGAGAGCGAGAGAGCGAGAGAGCGAGAGAGCGAGAGAGCGAGAGAGCGAGAGAGCGAGAGAGCGAGAGAGUGACUACAGCGAGCGUGGAUCAUACGAGAGACUUUACCCCACUGUGGCCCCGAGGAGAAGAGCAUGAACCAGACCUGCACCACGGGGUAUGAAGGCAUGGAGCUGCUGGACCUGCUCUUCGAUCAGACCGACGGGAUUCUGCGUCACGAGGAGCUCGGGUACCAUGGCAACCCUGGCUGGCCAAUCGCAGAGCACGGCGUCCUGAGUCCUGCGUGUUCGGCCGAUGACUUCCUGGACUCCCUGCUGAGCUCCAGUGACCCAGCCUCCGCCCCCCACUCCCCGCUGUGGUCCCC